rnacentral:rRNA from 1 species
GGCAGCAGUGGGGAAUCUUAGACAAUGGGCGCAAGCCUGAUCUAGCCAUGCCGCGUGUGUGAUGAAGGUCUUAGGAUCGUAAAGCACUUUCGCCAGGGAUGAUAAUGACAGUACCUGGUAAAGAAACCCCGGCUAACUCCGUGCCAGCAGCCGCGGUAAUACGGAGGGGGUUAGCGUUGUUCGGAAUUACUGGGCGUAAAGCGUACGUAGGCGGAUUGGAAAGUUGGGGGUGAAAUCCCAGGGCUCAACCCUGGAACUGCCUCCAAAACUAUCAGUCUAGAGUUCGAGAGAGGUGAGUGGAAUUCCAAGUGUAGAGGUGAAAUUCGUAGAUAUUUGGAGGAACACCAGUGGCGAAGGCGGCUCACUGGCUCGAUACUGACGCUGAGGUACGAAAGUGUGGGGAGCAAACAGGAUUAGAUACCCUGGUAGUC